UUUGUUUCAAGUUUGAUUGUUGAAAAGGAACAUUAAGGAAAAGAAAGGCAGUAGAAAUCACUGAUUGAUUUAGAACUCUAAUUUUGGUUGAAAAAUCAAAGAAGAAAGAUUCUGGGCAUUUAUAUAUCAUUUUUCUCCCACUGAUUUGCUUAGUGAUGAUUUUAUUUGUUUUUAAUUUUCCUUAUUUUUAUUGACACUUUGAUAAAUAUCACUCUCCCAAUUUAUGUGUCAUAUUAAGG
rnacentral:lncRNA from 1 species